GAUGAACGCUGGCGGCGUGCCUAAUACAUGCAAGUCGAGCGAACAGACGAGGAGCUUGCUCCUCUGACGUUAGCGGCGGACGGGUGAGUAACACGUGGAUAACCUACCUAUAAGACUGGGAUAACUUCGGGAAACCGGAGCUAAUACCGGAUAAUAUAUUGAACCGCAUGGUUCAAUAGUGAAAGACGGUUUUGCUGUCCCUUAUAGAUGGAUCCGCGCCGCAUUAGCUAGUUGGUAAGGUAACGGCUUACCAAGGCAACGAUGCGUAGCCGACCUGAGAGGGUGAUCGGCCACACUGGAACUGAGACACGGUCCAGACUCCUACGGGAGGCAGCAGUAGGGAAUCUUCCACAAUGGGCGAAAGCUUGACGGAGCAACGCCGCGUGAGUGAUGAAGGUCUUCGGAUCGUAAAACUCUGUUAUUAGGGAAGAACAAAUGUGUAAGUAACUAUGCACGUCUUGACGGUACCUAAUCAGAAAGCCACGGCUAACUACGUG
rnacentral:rRNA from 1 species